rnacentral:rRNA from 1 species
UACGUAGGGAGCGAGCGUUGUCCGGAUUUACUGGGUGUAAAGGGUGCGUAGGCGGCUAUGCAAGUCAGUAGUGAGAUCCAUGGGCUUAACCCAUGAACUGCUAUUGAAACUGCACAGCUUGAGUGAAGUAGAGGUAGGCGGAAUUCCCGGUGUAGCGGUGAAAUGCGUAGAGAUCGGGAGGAACACCAGUGGCGAAGGCGGCCUACUGGGCUUUAACUGACGCUGAGGCACGAAAGCGUGGGUAGCAAACAGG